rnacentral:tmRNA from 1 species
GGGGACGUCGGGAUUCGACGUAGUAUCCCGGUACAUAUACUAAUCAGGCAGAGCGCAACCUCUUAAAACUACGAAAUAGAUAAGUGCAAACUUAUUCAAAAAAGCGUUCGCACAGCCAGCAAUGGCGUUGGCGUAACGCUUUCCGGGGUUCGAUCUUGCUCUUUAGCAAGACAUCCCGGACAUCGAUAAGAUUCACGUCCGUACGAUCUUAUUUCGGUGUUAUAUCAUCGGACUCGAUGAUUCCGACUGCUUGAUACGAAUCAUGACAUAAAUCAGGCACCCCUUUUGUGCUUCGGCACAGAAUAAUACCUGUAACAGUUAGAUAUGUGCCCUCUACGGACGGGAGUUCAACUCUCCCCGUCUCCACAA